rfam:Myotis lucifugus cont2.7020, whole genome shotgun sequence.
GGCAGUUCUUGGGUGACGAACCCUGGAAUUGGGCUACCUCCUCUCUAGUUUCAGGUGCAUCACCCAAGAACUGAG